AUGGCUGUCGUCAGCUCGUGUCGUGAGAUGUUGGGUUAAGUCCCGCAACGAGCGCAACCCUUACUUUUAGUUGCUACCAUUUAGUUGGGCACUCUAAAAGAACUGCCGGUGAUAAGCUGGAGGAAGGUGGGGAUGACGUCAAGUCCUCAUGGCCCUUACGUGUUGGGCUACACACGUGCUACAAUGGUACUCACAGAGAGAAGCGAAGAGGCGACUCCAAGCUAAUCCCAAAAAAGUACCUCAGUUCGGAUUGCACUCUGCAACUCGAGUGCAUGAAGCUGGAAUUACUAGUAAUCGCGGAUCAGCGCGCCGCGGUGAAUACGUUCCCGGGUCUUGUACACACCGCCCGUCACACCAUGGAAGUUGGUUACACCUUAAGGCAAAGUAUAAAACCUUUGACUACGGUACGAUCAGCGACUGGGGUGAAGUCGUAACAAGGUAGCCGUAGGGGAACCUGCGGCUGGAUCACCUCCUUUCUAAGGAAAUCGAAAAAUAUUAAAACAAUUAUUUUUCGAUUUAAAAAAAAUCGGUUAAUGUGACCGUCCUCAUUUCUCUUCUUUUAAUGUCUCUGAGUAAGUGUGAGUAAGGGGCCGGUAGCUCAGGUGGUUAGAGCGCACCCCUGAUAAGGGUGAGGUCGGUGGUUCAAGUCCACCCAGGCCCACCAGGUUCAGUGGGGGAUUAGCUCAGCUGGUAGAGCGCCUGCUUUGCAAGCAGGAGGUCAGCGGUUCGACCCCGCUAUCCUCCACCAAAUUAAUGAACAGUAAAAAAAGGUGGUGCAGCUUAAGCAGAAGAUAAGCUUCAGCAAUUAUUUAAUAAUUUCUGAAUUUUAUUUUUUAAUAUCUUAGACAAUUGAAUCGGAGGUUUUGGAGACACAAGAUCAAAUGUGAGGGUCUCCAAGGGUUGACGAUCUUGACUGUUAAAGUCAGGUAGUAAGGGCGCAGGGCGGAUGCCUUGGCUCUGGGAAGCGAAGAAGGACGUGGCCAGCUGCGAUAAGCCUCGGGGAAGAGCAAACAUCUUUUGAUCCGGGGAUUUCCGAAUGGGGAAACCCGG
rnacentral:sRNA from 1 species